UACGAGGGGGGCAAAUGUUGUUCGGAAUCACUGGGCGUAAAGGGAGCGUAGGCGGGUUUUUAAGUCAGGUGUUUAAUCCCGGGGCCCAACCCCGGACCGGCACUUGAAACUGGGAACCUUGAAUAGUGGAGAGGUCAGUGGAAUUGGGGGUGUAGCGGUGGAAUGCGUAGAGAUCCCCAAGAACACCAGUUGCGAAGGCGGCUGACUGGACACAUAUUGACGCUGAGGCUCGAAAGCAUGGGGAGCAAACAGG
rnacentral:rRNA from 1 species